CGCGUAGGCGGCGGACCUUGUCGAGUGUGAAAGCCCCGGGCUCAACCUGGGAGGUGCGCUCGAGACGGGUUUGCUGGAGUUCGGGGGAGGAGAGUGGAAUUCCCAGUGUAGAGGUGAAAUUCGUAGAUAUUGGGAAGAACACCGGUGGCGAAGGCGGCUCUCUGGACCGAGACUGACGCUGAGGCGCGAAAGCGUGGGGAGCAAACAGGAUUAGAUACCCUGGUAGUCCACGCUGUAAACGAUGUGUGCUAGACGUUGGGGAGCGUAGCUCUUCGGUGUCGCCGCAAACGCUUUAAGCACACCGCCUGGGGAGUACGGCCGCAAGGUUAAA
rnacentral:rRNA from 1 species